UCCAGACUCCUACGGGAGGCAGCAGUGGGGGAUAUUGCACAAUGGGGGGAACCCUGAUGCAGCGACGCCGCGUGGGUGAAGAAGCGCCUCGGCGCGUAAAGCCCUGUCAGCAGGGAAGAAAAUGACGGUACCUGAAGAAGAAGCCCCGGCUAACUACGUGCCAGCAGCCGCGGUAAUACGUAGGGGGCAAGCGUUAUCCGGAUUUACUGGGUGUAAAGGGAGCGUAGACGGUGAGACAAGUCUGAAGUGAAGGCCCGGGGCUCAACCCCGGGACUGCUUUGGAAACUGAGCAGCUAGAGUGCAGGAGAGGUAAGUGGAAUUCCUAGUGUAGCGGUGAAAUGCGCAGAUAUUAGGAGGAACACCAGUGGCGAAGGCGGCUUACUGGACUGUAACUGACGUUGAGGCUCGAAAGCGUGGGGAGCAAACAGGAUUAGAUACCCGGGUAGA
rnacentral:rRNA from 1 species